UAUGAGUACUUUCAAGGUUUUACCAGUAUGGUGACCCAAGUAUUUGAUGCUUUUGGGAUGGUAGCAGGAUAAAUGGGACUAUGUGAUAGUUGACAAGGUUAAUUGUACAAUGAUGAUUGCUGUCUAAGUUGAUAGACUCUGGAGUGUGUGAUGAAGUGAUAGUAAUGUGUCUAAGAGGGAAAUAUUUCUACAUGGACUAUUUAGAAAAAAACUCAGCUUUGUUAUAAGCCUAUGCUUAUCUGGUAAAUGAGUAACAUGUGAUUCAGUCACUUGUGGUUCAAUAGUUCAGUGUGAAAGUGAUCUUAAACCACCGCUAAACCCUACCCUAAUUCAUACCAUCUUGAUAUUGUCACUGAAAAAACAAUAGUACAUUUGUUUAUUCUUGUUCAGUAUUGUCAUGUUUUGUCAAUAUUGAGACAACAUUUAUUUAGCAGGGGAGGAAUGUAGCACUUGGUAAAGUGUACAGAUAAAAUGUCUGAAACAUUGCAUAAACCUGUUGAGAGUUGAAAAGUAAGUCAGCUAUGUUUGUUUCUGGUUAAGCUGUUACACAUUUUCACCAGUAGAGGGCAGUUACAGUUCAGAAAGGAAUGGGAAGAAAAAAGAAAAAAGGCUCUAACAUGCUUGGAUCUGUAUGACGAUGCCAUGGUUCUGAGGUCCCCAAUAAAACUCGGGUUUUCUACACCAAGUUGUCCUGGAGUGGUGUAACAUAAGCAAGGACUAAAUGCCUAAAUCAUAACAAAUCAGAAACGAGAUGGAAUGAGAUGUUGUCAAACAAAGUAACAACAGAGACAUAAUGCUUAAUUUAACCAAUAUGGUCUUUUGUGUGAUAUAAGGUUUGAAGCUGGUAAAGAUCCCCAGAGCUGAACAUUGUCCAGAGUUCCUCAUUACCAGAGGAACUUUUAUAAUGUUGUUGGGACUUAAAGGAGACAUAACAUGAAAAACCCACUUUUUUAUCCAUUAACACAAUGUGUUUCACAUUUUAAGUGUCUAAGUGAGCAAAAAGGCUUAUAUUAUUCACUGGAGUUGCUAUUUAGAUAUUUAAUAAUUAAGUUUUGGGCAUAUUUGUCCACCCGUUCAGUUUUUCAAAUUAUCCAUUACAUCAGUAAUUUAUUUUGUCAGGAUAACUACCAAAUAUGGUAAUGGCCCUCGGCUAAACACAGAACCAAUCCGCCAUUUUUUCUUCUCGCUAAGAUUUUUUGUAGUCCUUUUGGAAAAAUGCAGAAUGUCUGGUUAUUUUAGCCACACACAGCUCAAAACUGUUCCUCGUUUUAAGGAAGGGUGGUGUGGCAGUAUUUAAACCCAGGAGCUGAUGACACUACUGCUAAAAAAUCACAGAAGAAAAAGUAAUGUGUGUGUUUGUGUGUGUGUGUGUGUGUGUGUGUGUGUGUGUGUGUGCGCGCGCGCGCGCGUGGUUCGUUCGUUCUGUCUCCAGGCUAGUGGCUAAGUACUGAUGGCUUCAUCUAUCUAAAAGGAGUCAUUUCCAUCUGAAUGUGGCAGCACUGGGACACAGCAGCAGAGCGAGUCCACAUCCAGAAGACUGGAGCCGUGUUUCACUGACAGGCUGUCAGACUAACGCCCUGAUGAGCUCAGCUGGGACAAACUGGUCUGAUGUUUAGGAACACAGAACGUUCAGAUGUUGGCGUUUCACGACACCUACUGAGGAAGGAGACCCACCAGUAAAGAGACGGUCUGGACCAGACCAAAAAUAUGGCGAUGACAUCAUGGAACUGGUCAUUGGAAAAGUUUUCCCUGAACCAACUCCGUUUCUAGAUGAGGUAGAGAAGACCUGCAUCUCACCAACCCUCUGGUCUCAGUAUUCAGACAACGGAGGUCUCCCACUGUUAUCCAGGACCAGUUUGAAGCCCACAUACUGCCCCUCCCUCAUCAUCAGGAAACAUCAAUCCGUAUCCUGAGGACAACAGAAGACGGCAGGAGGACAGGAACUCUGAGACCUAGACACCACCAGCACCGGGACCCAAAGCACCUGUGUGCACAACGCCUGUUUAACUACUAAAGCCUGUUUAUUAUAUAGUUCUACUUAUUUGCUGUGAGGUUAAUACUUAGAAAAUUUGUAUAUUAAUGUAAACAAUUAAAAAAAUCACUGAUUGUAUGUUUUCUUUUAGAUGUAAUGGUCCAAACUCAGCCUUGUAGACAUUUAUUGCAUCCUGUAGGUAAAUACACAGAACAGGCUCAGAUCCAGGAUGACCCAGCAUGCUCUUCUUCCAUUCUGGCUGUUAGGGAUUGUAUCAAUAACUCGAUGCCUACUGAUGCUUUCACCUAAUGGUAUUUAUUUAGAAUGCAGGUAAGAUUUAACUAUAUUUGUUAGCAAAGCAGACUGAUCUUGGGAAUUUCACUGCAGCACUGAUGUCCACCUCUGUGUACACAUUAGAGAAUUACCACGUUACAGCUGAAAACACAUUUAAUAAAGAUAGGCUACACAUUGCAGACAAUAAAAACAAAGUUGUAAGCAUUAGAAUUAUAAUGAUCACAUUAAAGAACAUUUGGAGGAAUGUUCUUUAUUUUUGACUAGAAUCUCAAAUCUU